rnacentral:lncRNA from 1 species
AAUAGUUUAAAAUAAUAUAUCUAUAUUUUUUUCCUAUAAACCAGGAGCUCUACAGUGAUCCGACCGUCCAAUUUCUCACAAAGACCGAACCCAAGCCAGGACUUUGUCCUGUGGCCUCCUUGCCAUCAUACCACCAAGAC